AACGAACGUUAGCGGCACGCUUAACACAUGCAAGUCGAGCGCGAAGUCUUCGGACUUUGAGCGGCGCACGGGUGAGUAACACGUAGAUAAUCUACCCUUGAGUGGUGGAUAACGUUCCGAAAGGAACGCUAAUACAGCAUAAAACCACGCGUCCUCGGAUGUCGUGGCCAAAGCAGGGGACCUUCGGGCCUCGCGCUUGAGGAUGAGUCUGCGGCCCAUCAGCUUGUUGGUAGUGUAAAAGACUACCAAGGCUAAGACGGGUAGCUGGUCUGAGAGGAUGAACAGCCACACUGGAACUGAGACACGGUCCAGACUCCUACGGGAGGCAGCAGUGGGGAAUCUUGCGCAAUGGACGAAAGCCUGACGCAGCGAUGCCGCGUGAGCGAUGAAGGCCUUCGGGUUGUAAAGCUCUGUGGAUGGAGACGAAUAAGUAUGGGUUAAUAUCCCAUGCGGUGACGGUAUCCAUUUAGCAAGCACCGGCUAACUCUGUGCCAGCAGCCGCGGUAAGACAGAGGGCGCAAACGUUGUUCGGAAUUACUGGGCGUAAAGCGCGUGUAGGCGGCUUUGUAAGUCGGAUGUGAAUCCCGCGGCUCAACCGUGGAAGUGCACUCGAAACUG
rnacentral:rRNA from 1 species